rnacentral:lncRNA from 1 species
ACCUAGAAAUGGAGGAGCUGAUUUAUCUGGGCUGGGUUGGAUCAUGCUUGAGGAAUGAACUUGAAGUAAAACCAGUGCAGGAAAUGGGAGGCCAGUGGAUCAUGGAGCUCCCAGCAAAUGACCAGGUCAAGAGUUUCAGGGUGGAACUCCAUGAUACAGACCGUUCUUCACCGGUUGCAGGCAUUGGCCAUGAAGCUUGCUCAGUUGCCACAGCAAGGAAGAAUCAUUCAUGUCCAGAGAAGCCAACAUAUUGUUCUUCAUCAGUUACUGAACUUGGUCAUGAAGCUUGCUUGGAUGUGGCAGCAAGGAAGAAUCAUUUAGGUUUGAUGAAUCAAGAGGAAGAAGAACAUGAAGUAAAACCAGUGCAGAGAAUUGGAGGCCAGUGGAUCAUGGAGCUCCCAGCAAAUGACAACGUCAUGAGUUGCAGGGUGGAACUCCAUGACUCAGACUGUUCACCAGUACCAGGCAUUGGUCAUGAAACUUGCUCAGGUCCAAAGAAG